rnacentral:rRNA from 1 species
AGAGUUUGAUCAUGGCUCAGAUUGAACGCUGGCGGCAGGCCUAACACAUGCAAGUCGAGCGGUAGAGAGAAGCUUGCUUCUCUUGAGAGCGGCGGACGGGUGAGUAAUGCCUAGGAAUCUGCCUGGUAGUGGGGGAUAACGUCCGGAAACGGACGCUAAUACCGCAUACGUCCUACGGGGGAAAGCAGGGGACCUUCGGGCCUUGCGCUAUCAGAUGAGCCUAGGUCGGAUUAGCUAGUUGGUGGGGUAAUGGCUCACCAAGGCGACGAUCCGUAACUGGUCUGAGAGGAUGAUCAGUCACACUGGAACUGAGACACGGUCCAGACUCCUACGGGAGGUAGCAGUGGGGAAUAUUGGACAAUGGGCGAAAGCCUGAUCCAGCCAUGCCGCGUGUGUGAAGAAGGUCUUCGGAUUGUAAAGCACUUUAAGUUGGGAGGAAGGGCAGUAAAUUAAUACUUUGCUGUUUUGACGUUACCGACAGAAUAAGCACCGGCUAACUCUGUGCCAGCAGUCGCGGUAAUACAGAGGGUGCAAGCGUUAAUCGGAAUUACUGGGCGUAAAGCGCGCGUAGGUGGUUCGUUAAGUUGGAUGUGAAAUCCCCGGGCUCAACCUGGGAACUGCAUUCAAAACUGACGAGCUAGAGUAUGGUAGAGGGUGGUGGAAUUUCCUGUGUAGCGGUGAAUGCGUAGAUAUAGGAAGGAACACCAGUGGCGAAGGCGACCACCUGGACUGAUACUGACACUGAGGUGCGAAAGCGUGGGGAGCAAACAGGAUUAGAUACCCCGGUAGU